rnacentral:lncRNA from 1 species
CCCCAUGUCUCGCCAGUUCCCCUGGCUCUGCCCGACUAAGUUGUUGGGAUUCUAUCUCGGGACUUCGGGACAAGGUUGAAUUAGGGGUACUAUACUUACCACGAGUGCAUUAUAUAUUUUUAUAUAGCUCAGAAGUUAUACCCAAAAUUUAUACCAGGAGGUUUUCUAGUUGAACCCUAAAGUUACAAAGUGGGUUCAUUCUCUUUUCUCACCGUUUUAUUUCCUUUUUGUGAUUUACCCAAAACUAUUAUUUAUUUUGUAAACAAAUCUCAUCAAAAGUCAUAUCUAUUAUUUUAUUUACCCAAUAGGAAACCCUAGUUGAGACACCCAAGUAAUUCUGCACAAUCCCUAAAAUUUUCAGAAUAAUCAGAAUCAGGAUCAGGGCCCCUAAAACUCAAAGGAGGCAAUUCCCAUUCGAUAUUAUCUUCAAAAAUCUGUUGUCAAAAUUGAAUUUAGUCGUACAGUCGACUCAUCAAGCCUACCCCUAAACGUGUCCACCCUAGGCUAGGAAAUUGACCCGUCGCGCCACGCGACGGGUGCACAUGUUCUUGUCGCGACACGCGAGAGGGACGAUUUUCCAGCUAUAAAUAGUAGGCUGUGGGACUUGAUUUCUGGAGUUGGAACGACGGAAAAUUCCGUCUUACACUCCGAGUUAUAGCCGGUCUGCUAUAAAACACCCACAAUCACGAAUUCUGCUACGAUACAGGGUAAUUUCAGUAGAUUGGAGUAAGAAUUGGAUCCGGCACUGAAGGCAUCAAGAAGUGGCUUAUUUUAUUAAUUUAAUCAACUUAAGAAAUAUUGUUUUUAGGGUUUAUCCCGUAUUAAAAGCUACCUUUGUAAAACAUGGAAUUUAUUCCAUCUAUUUAAAUAAAAUCUGGUGU